rnacentral:rRNA from 1 species
UACGUAGGGUGCAAGCGUUGUCCGGAAUUAUUGGGCGUAAAGGGCUCGUAGGCGGUUUGUCGCGUCGGGAGUGAAAACACCGGGCUUAACUCGGUGCUUGCUUUCGAUACGGGCAGACUAGAGGUAUUCAGGGGAGAACGGAAUUCCUGGUGUAGCGGUGAAAUGCGCAGAUAUCAGGAGGAACACCGGUGGCGAAGGCGGUUCUCUGGGAAUAUCCUGACGCUGAGGAGCGAAAGUGUGGGGAGCGAACAGG